ACUCGACUCCAUGAAGUCGGAAUCGCUAGUAAUCGUGGAUCAGAAUGCCACGGUGAAUACGUUCCCGGGCCUUGUACACACCGCCCGUCACACCAUGGGAGUGGGUUGCAAAAGAAGUAGGUAGCUUAACCUUCGGGAGGGCGCUUACCACUUUGUGAUUCAUGACUGGGGUGAAGUCGUAACAAGGUAACCGUAGGGGAACCUGCGGUUGGAUCACCUCCUUACCUGAAAGAA
rnacentral:rRNA from 1 species